AGGCUAAUACGUGAACGUAAAACMUAGUUGACCGGGUUUCGGCCUGGGAUUNUGGGGGAUGUGUGAUUGCAGGCUUGGUUUAACCGGGAAUGGGCGCACUUCCAGACCGCGCUAAAAAGGAUCGGGCUUUCGGGCCUGGCCCCAGCGGCUCUUGCUGUGUGCUUUUGACCUAUCAACUAGACGGCAGCGUAAGGGACAUGCUAUGGUGACAACGGGAC
rnacentral:rRNA from 1 species